rnacentral:snRNA from 1 species
AGCUUUGUGCGGUACCAGCAUCAUAGCCAAUGACGUUUAUCCGAGGCAUAAUUAUUGCUAAUUGAAAACUGUUCCCAACUGG